GCGCCCGUAGCUCAGGGGAUAGAGCAAUGGUUUCCGGUACCAUGCGUCGGGGGUUCGAUUCCCUCCGGGCGCG
rnacentral:tRNA from 1 species